GACAGCAGUCGCCGCGGUAAUACAGAGGGUGCGAGCGUUAAUCGGAUUCACUGGGCGUAAAGCGUGCGUAGGUGGCCAAUUAAGUCAAAUGUGAAAUCCCCGAGCUUAACUUGGGAAUUGCAUUCGAUACUGGUUGGCUAGAGUAUGGGAGAGGAUGGUAGAAUUCCAGGUGUAGCGGUGAAAUGCGUAGAGAUCUGGAGGAAUACCGAUGGCGAAGGCAGCCAUCUGGCCUAAUACUGACACUGAGGUACGAAAGCAUGGGGAGCAAACAGGAUUAGAUACCCGUGUAGUCCCUGUCUCUUAUAC
rnacentral:rRNA from 1 species